UGCAAGUCGAACGCUUCUUUCCUCCCGAGUGCUUGCACUCAAUUGGAAAGAGGAGUGGCGGACGGGUGAGUAACACGUGGGUAACCUACCCAUCAGAGGGGGAUAACACUUGGAAACAGGUGCUAAUACCGCAUAACAGUUUAUGCCGCAUGGCAUAAGAGUGAAAGGCGCUUUCGGGUGUCGCUGAUGGAUGGACCCGCGGUGCAUUAGCUAGUUGGUGAGGUAACGGCUCACCAAGGCCACGAUGCAUAGCCGACCUGAGAGGGUGAUCGGCCACACUGGGACUGAGACACGGCCCAGACUCCUACGGGAGGCAGCAGUAGGGAAUCUUCGGCAAUGGACGAAAGUCUGACCGAGCAACGCCGCGUGAGUGAAGAAGGUUUUCGGAUCGUAAAACUCUGUUGUUAGAGAAGAACAAGGACGUUAGUAACUGAACGUCCCCUGACGGUAUCUAACCAGAAAGCCACGGCUAACUACGUGCCAGCAGCCGCGGUAUACGUAGGUGGCAAGCGUUGUCCGGAUUUAUUGGGCGUAAAGCGAGCGCAGGCGGUUUCUUAAGUCUGAUGUGAAAGCCCCCGGCUCAACCGGGGAGGGUCAUUGGAAACUGGGAGACUUGAGUGCAGAAGAGGAGAGUGGAAUUCCAUGUGUAGCGGUGAAAUGCGUAGAUAUAUGGAGGAACACCAGUGGCGAAGGCGGCUCU
rnacentral:rRNA from 1 species